rnacentral:rRNA from 1 species
AGAGUUUGAUCCUGGCUCAGGAUGAACGCUGGCGGCGUGCUUAACACAUGCAAGUCGAGCGAGAAGUUUUGAAAAGAUUCUUCGGAUGAAAUUUAAAAUGGAAAGCGGCGGACGGGUGAGUAACGCGUAGGCAACCUGCCCCAUACAAAGGGAUAGCAUUUGGAAACGAAUAUUAAUACCUUAUGAAACUUAACUAGUGCAUGCUAGGUAGGUCAAAGAUUUAUCGGUAUGGGAUGGGCCUGCGUCUGAUUAGCUAGUUGGUGAGGUAACGGCUCACCAAGGCGACGAUCAGUAGCCGACCUGAGAGGGUGAACGGCCACAUUGGAACUGAGACACGGUCCAAACUCCUACGGGAGGCAGCAGUGGGGAAUAUUGCACAAUGGGGGAAACCCUGAUGCAGCAACGCCGCGUGAACGAUGAAGGCCUUUGGGUCGUAAAGUUCUGUUCUAGGUGAUGAAAACUGACAGUAACCUAGGAGAAAGCCCG